AAAGUCGUAACAAGGUUUCCGUAGGUGAACCUGCGGAAGGAUCAUCAGCAUAUUCUCCUACUAUAUACCGUGUGCACUGUAUUUUUGUAUUGGGGUGACCCGUCUCUCGGGACGGCGCCCCGAGAAACAUCAUGCUAAUAUCUCUCGUCUGACAAAUUACACUUAAUAAUACACAACUUUCAACAGUGGAUCUCUUGGCUCUC
rnacentral:misc_RNA from 1 species